rnacentral:rRNA from 1 species
GGUUAGCUUUUCCUUAGUGUAGUAAGCUAAGGGAAUAAGCGGGGGGCAAGCCUGGUGUCAGCCGCCGCGGUAAUACCAGCUCCGCGAGUGGUCGGGACGAUUAUUGGGCCUAAAGCGUCCGUAGCCGGCCUAUCAAGUCUCUGGUUAAACCUCAAGGCUCAACCUUGAGAUCGCUGGAGAUACUGUUAGGCUAGGGGGCGGGAGAGGUUGAGGGUACUUCGCGGGUAGGGGCGAAAUCCUAUAAUCCGCGAAGGACCACCAGUGGCGAAGGCGCUCAACUGGAACGCGCCCGACGGUGAGGGACGAAAGCCAGGGGAGCAAAGGGGAUUAGAUACCCCCGUAGUCCUGGCUGUAAACGAUGCGGGCUAGGUGUUGGGUUGGCUUCGUGCCAACCCGGUGCCGCAGUGAAGACGAUAAGCCCGCCGCCUGGGAAGUACGGCUGCAAGGCUGAAACUUAAAGGAAUUGGCGGGGGAGCACCACAAGGGGUGAAGCCUGCGGUUUAAUUGGAGUCAACGCCGGGAAUCUUA